rnacentral:rRNA from 1 species
ACGAACGCUGGCGGCGUGCUUAACACAUGCAAGUCGAACGGAAAGGCCCUGCUUGCCGGGUGCUCGAGUGGCGAACGGGUGAGUAACACGUGGGUGAUCUGCCCCUUACUUUGGGAUAAGCCUGGGAAACUGGGUCUAAUACUGGAUAGGACCAUGCUGUAGGUGGUGUGGUGGAAAGAUUAGUUUCGGUAAGGGAUGAGCUCGCGGCCUAUCAGCUUGUUGGUGGGGUAAUGGCCUACCAAGGCGUCGACGGGUAGCCGGCCUGAGAGGGUGGACGGCCACAUUGGGACUGAGAUACGGCCCAGACUCCUACGGGAGGCAGCAGUGGGGAAUAUUGCACAAUGGGCGCAAGCCUGAUGCAGCGACGCCGCGUGGGGGAUGACGGCCUUCGGGUUGUAAACUCCUUUCAGCCAUGACGAAGCCCUUGUGGUGACGGUAGUGGUAGAAGAAGCACCGGCUAACUACGUG